rnacentral:lncRNA from 1 species
GUGGUGGAUGUCGGAUGGUGCUGGAGAGGUUCGUCCGCCGGAGGGGUCCAGCCACUGGAUUCCGUGAGCAUGGCACUUGCCCGCUUAUAGAAGUUCGGUCGGAGUCCAUUCUCCGUAGAAGCCCGGAUGGGGAUCAUUUGUCGAGGAGUCUCGGCCAAGGCCUGUCCGCAACAGAAAUUCGAAAGGAAUUCAUCCAUAAUGGAAGCUCGGGUGAAGGCUUACGAUGGA